rnacentral:rRNA from 1 species
CCCUCAAGGUGGUCAUGACAUAAAUAAAGUGAAACUGCAAUCGUCUCAUAAUAUCAGUUAUAAUCCAUCGGAUUGUCAAGGGUAUUGUGGACCGUGGGGAAUCUAGAGCUAAUAUUAGUUUAGGAUGGUUCGCCGUCCCUGCAUUUAUUUGACAACACCAACCGUAGCAAUACGAGGUGAAUCUAGAUAACUUUGCUGAUCGUGGACCUUGUGUCCGCGACGUUUCGGUUGAGUUUCUGCCCUAUCACCUUGGACUCAGUGUAUUGAACUGAGUUGGGGAUAACGAGUAACGAAUUUACAGCCUUCGAUCCCGGAACUUUGCCCUUAAAAACGGCUACCACAUUCAAGGAUGGCAGCAGGCGCGCAAAUUACCCAAUCCAGACACUGGGAGGUGGCGACGAAGAGUACCACAUGACUGCCAAUGGCAGUCAGUUUGGCACGAUACAAUUUACCUAUUGAUUUGAGAUCAACUGAGGGCAAGUCUGGUGUCAGCAGCCGCGGUAAUUCCAGCUCCAGUAGCGUAUCUCAAAGUUGCUGCGCUUAAAAAGCUCGUAGUUGGAUCACAGACUACUGGCAAAGUAGUAAUGUGUGUGGCUAUAAAAUUGGUUGUAGCAACUCAGUUGUAACAAUGAAUUCGGUAGCAUGCAUUACAUAAUCUUUGUCAGUAGUAGUUGCACGUGAGAAUGGUCUUUGACCUUGAGUGCGUUGAGGAUCGUGUCUCACGGAGUUUGCCUUGAGUAAAUCAGAGUGCUCAAAGCAGGCAGUAUGCUUGAAUGCUUUAGCCUGGAACGAACAAUCUUGUUGUAUUGCGGGUUUGAUAACGGCAUGAGCGAAAGCAAAUUGCUACAACUCGCGACGACUACCCCCAAAUACGGAUAUUGUUUUCCGUUUUUGGGGUGAUGAUUUAAGAGGGAGCCGUUCUGCGUCAUUGGCAUUUUGUUAGCCACAAGGUGAAAAUUCUUGGGACCUGCCAAGGAACUAAACAAAAUGCGAAAGCCAUCUCUCCAGUACCGUAUCCAUUUAAUCCAGAAACAAUAUUUAGGAGGUUCCGCAGACCAACAAAAUAACCGGUCCCAAGUUCUCCACCCUUAAAACUAAUGUUUACCCCGAGAACCACCUUUGCAACCUUUUUUUUCCAAGCCCCGAGGGUUCCGACCCCCCCUGGGUAAAACCUAAAGGUUUUUUUUGUUUUACAGGAGGGGAGUAUUGGGCCCCCAAAUUCUCCAAACUUUAACGGGAAUUCAAAGGAUAGGCCCCCCCCACCCUGGGUUCUCAAACCCCCCCGGCGUUUAAAAUUUGGACUCC